rnacentral:rRNA from 1 species
ACUUGAAUUGAAGAGUUUGAUCAUGGCUCAGAUUGAACGCUGGCGGCAGGCUUAACACAUGCAAGUCGAACGGU